rnacentral:rRNA from 1 species
UACGGGGGGAGCGAGCGUUGUUCGGAUUUACUGGGCGUAAAGGGCGCGUAGGCGGCCACUGCAAGUCGGUUGUGAAAUCUCCGGGCUUAACCCGGAAAGGUCAAUCGAUACUGCAGGGCUAGAGUGCAGAAGGGGCAACUGGAAUUCUCGGUGUAGCGGUGAAAUGCGUAGAUAUCGAGAGGAACACCUGCGGCGAAGGCGGGUUGCUGGGCUGACACUGACGCUGAAGCGCGAAAGCUAGGGGAGCGAACGGG